rnacentral:rRNA from 1 species
GUGGGGAAUAUUGGGCAAUGGAGGCAACUCUGACCCAGCCAUGCCGCGUGCAGGAAGACGGUCCUCUGGAUUGUAAACUGCUUUUGAAUGGGAAGAAACGUAGCUUUGCGAAGCUAUUUGACGGUACUAUUAGAAUAAGCACCGGCUAACUCCGUGCCAGCAGCCGCGGUAAUACGGAGGGUGCAAGCGUUAUCCGGAUUUAUUGGGUUUAAAGGGUGCGUAGGCGGCUUUAUAAGUCUGGGGUUAAAGGCGGCAGCUUAACUGUACGCAUGCCCUGGAAACUGUGAAGCUUGAGUGACUUGGAGGUAGCUAGAAUUCCCUGUGUAGCGGUGAAAUGCAUAGAUACGGGGAGGAAUACCGAUUGCGAAGGCAUGUUACUACGAGUAAACUGACGCUGAUGCACGAAAGCGUGGGGAUCAAACAGGAUUAGAAACCCUUGUAGUCC